GGUGCUAGGUGUUAAAAGAGGGAGAGGUAAAGGUAACACCAACAGAUCAGGGUGCUAGGUGUUAAAAGAGGGAGAGGUAAAGGUAACACCAACAGAUCAGGGUGCUAGGUGUUAAAAGAGGGAGAGGUAAAGGUAACACCAACAGAUCAGGGUGCUAGGUGUUAAAAGAGGGAGAGGUAAAGGUAACACCAACAGAUCAGGGUGCUAGGUGUUAAAAGAGGGAGAGGUAAAGGUAACACCAACAGAUCAGGGUGCUAGGUGUUAAAAGAGGGAGAGGUAAAGGUAACACCAACAGAUCAGGGUGCUAGGUGUUAAAAGAGGGAGAGGUAAAGGUAACACCAACAGAUCAGGGUGCUAGGUGUUAAAAGAGGGAGAGGUAAAGGUAACACCAACAGAUCAGGGUGCUAGGUGUUAAAAGAGGGAGAGGUAAAGGUAACACCAACAGAUCAGGGUGCUAGGUGUUAAAAGAGGGAGAGGUAAAGGUAACACCAACAGAUCAGGGUGCUAGGUGUUAAAAGAGGGAGAGGUAAAGGUAACACCAACAGAUCAGGGUGCUAGGUGUUAAAAGAGGGAGAGGUAAAGGUAACACCAACAGAUCAGGGUGCUAGGUGUUAAAA